rnacentral:rRNA from 1 species
UACGUAGGUGGCAAGCGUUGUCCGGAUUUAUUGGGCUUAAAGGGUCCGUAGGCGGCUUUAUAAGUCAGUGGUGAAAUCUGGUCGCUCAACGAUCAAACGGCCAUUGAUACUGUAGAACUUGAAUUACUUGGAAGUAACUAGAAUAUGUAGUGUAGCGGUGAAAUGCUUAGAGAUUACAUGGAAUACCAAUUGCGAAGGCAGGUUACUACGAGUACAUUGACGCUGAUGGACGAAAGCGUGGGGAGCGAACAGG